AGAGUUUGAUCCUGGCUCAGGAUGAACGCUAGCGGCAGGCCUAAUACAUGCAAGCCGAACGGUAAGUGGUGUAGCAAUAUAUCACCAAGAGUGGCGUAAGGGUGCGUAACACGUAUGCAAUCUGCCCGCAACAGGAGAAUAGCUCCCCGAAAGGGGAAUUAAUACUCCAUAAGACCACACGAGGGCAUCUGAGAGUGGUU
rnacentral:rRNA from 1 species